ACAAUCACUUAUAGAAACCAAACAAAAUAUGACUUGUAAUUAUAAUAGGAAUAGAGAUGGAUAUGCUAGCAAUUAGAUUUCCACAAGCCUACUAACAAUAUAUAUUAGUAUAUUAUAUAAACUACCUCAAAUCAAUGUAUCAAACUAGGCAUACAACAACACCUAAGAUUAAACGUGCAAGUGAAUAAUUGAGUUCCUAACUCAUUUAAUACAUCACUCUUUAGGAAGACGCUUAAAUUAGACAGUGUUCACAUAAUAAAUUUGAAACCUCGAACUAUAAUUCUGAAUCCCUUUGUUCAACACCCGACUUUGAACUACUAAGUGUAUAAAAACUCAUUCCACCAUAUGGUCGACACAUGACUGAACUAUGCUAAAACCUUAGACAAUACUCAUGGGUAAACUAAGCUAUUUUAAACAUGAGUUCACAAUCAUACACCACAAGCCAUUCACAGCAAAAGAAUAUCUCAUAGUAUCUUUCAAACAACACACUACACUUUAAUACUUUUGCCCUUAGCCUCCUUUCAGCCAGUCCAUCAUAUAUUUCAGGUUUAACUAGUCCAAGUUACACAAACUAUAACAGAUCUUAGUUAUUCAAACCUCUAGAUUACCAUUACAUAUCUAACAGAACUUAGACAUUCAAAAUGAUCAGAAAAUAGAACUGCAUAGAAGCCAAUGCAAUAACAGUAGUGCUUGCAUUUCAAUCUCUCUUCCAAAUAGGCUUUAUUCAACUUAAUAUUUAUACGUCAUUCAAUGUUGAGAUAAAUACCUGGGCACAGAACAGAAAAGGAGAAGACGGAAUCAGCUGAUACACCAAUCGAGCAGCAACAACAAUCAGCAAUCAACAAAAACCAGUAACAACCAAUAAAACCCAGCAGCAGAGUAACAGAAGGCCAACAGAACUCCCAACAACCCAAUAGAACAGUAACAAUAACCAAUAGCAAACUCAGGCAAACCCAAAUGACAAACCAGAGAUACCAAUCAACCACACAAACAGAACCAGACUGAUUAAGAGGAUGCAAUGAAACUAUGAAUUUUCUCUUCAACUCUCAAAUACUGAACUUUAAGUGUUAAAGUCUAGCAAAGUUUUUCCGGAGAAAGAAACUGAAAGAAAACUGAUGGACUACUUGUGCAGGGAUUAGCCUACGUUUGCUUUUUAACUCUGAAUUCUUAAUGUAAAAUCCAGCUCUUAAACACUCGAUAUCUAGUCCAAAAAUUCAGUCCUCUCUUUUCUGCUCUCAAAACUUAAUUUCUAAUGCUCUAAAAAUCUCCCCCCAUUCAGUCUUCAAUUCCCCCUAUUUAUAACCCAUUUCCACCCUAAAAAGCACUAAGCCAGUUGCCUCAUUCAUUACUCCGUCAUGCCCCAUUUUGCCUUUUUAGCUCUAUGGAGCGUUAUCUCUAAUUAAAGAAGUAAAUGUACCCAUGUUCUUUUCUGCAUUUCCCAUUCAAAAGUUCAAAAGGAGUAAUAUUCCCUGACAUCCCCCCAUUUAAUAUUAAAGUGUUUUCCCUUUUAUUAAACUAGAACAAUAUGGGCAGCAGGAAUAUGCCCUGACAGCACAUGCUGUCAAAUUACCUUAGACUCAUUAAAGAAUUAACAGUUCACAUGCUUGCUGGGGUCCUAAACAAAGCCAAUAUUCAUCUAAAAAUGCAUAAACCAGGGGAUCAUUUCAAUACUAGUCUAAACUAAAUGCCUGGUUAAUUGCAAUUCAAAUUGAAACUAGUAUGAAUUCAAAUGCUAAUGGAUUCAGGCAAAAGAAUCAAAUUAACAUGAAAUUUUGAAUCCAGCAUAGGCAAACUGGUACCAACCAGCUCGAAGGGCACGAACAAAUUUCAAACCAAUAAUCGGCCAAACUUAAUUACAGACAUAUAUAAUUACAAACAAAGAAAAUCGACCAAAUAAAAUCUCUGUUGGAGAUGGAUAGAAAUGAAAGACUAAAAAUUGAAAACUUAAAUAAACUAAACUAAAUGCGUAUCAGAUAGGAAUCAUGCAUAUAAAAUAAAAUGAGGAAGAAAAGGUACCUCGGGCAUUCAAAGAACACAGACGACCCAUGUUCGAAACCGGACUUGCCUGCUCUGAGGUCGAACAGACCUUAGUCAAAGUGUUAUCACAUGAUAACACCUUGAUUAAGGUCAAUUAAACCCCAAAUCCAUAACUUAUUCAGACAGAUUCCAAGCUUUGAAAUUUUUUUCUUCAAACUAAUUUGGGGUUUAUGAUUUUCUGGGUAGAUUCGAAUGGGACCAAAGGCGUUUAGGAUAUGAGAGAGGUCAGAUGGUGACAUGGUGUGACUUUGGGGGUUGGUUGGGGUAGGUUUGGGUUUCAAUUGAAUUUUUGAUUGAAGAUUCGAGAAGCUAAAGAUUGAUUCGAGGUAAGUAGUUAAGGGAUUCGUGUUCAAGGAGCAAAGUGGGUUAAGGGGUGUUAAUUUUGUGGUCAUUGGCAUCGUUGCCGCCAGGCUUACGGCGAAGGGGAGGGGUGGCGGUUGCUAGGGUUUUGGGGAAGGGUUUGAUCUCUGAACUCAGAGACGAAGAGGGGGG
rnacentral:lncRNA from 1 species